rnacentral:lncRNA from 1 species
AGAACUUCUGUUUAUAUUUCUUUUCUCAUUGUUUCCAGUUUUGAUGUUUCAUACAGUGCAUAGUAUAUCGGCACAGUAGUGCAGUCCUACUCAUAAAUAAAUAUGCAUGUAUUGUAAAGAGUCGGAGAGGACUAUUGGAGUCCACUGAGCUAAAGAAAUGAAUGCAGGUUGAAGGCCUGGGGGAGAGAUUCUCACCUGAGACGAGCCCCAUUUCCUUCUUCAUGCUAUCUAAACUGGCUCCCAGUACCUCCCAGUGUCAUGUGCCCAGACCUGGUGCGAAGCCAGCACAAAACCUACUUUCACGCAGUUUAGCAAAAACUCCUCAGCUACUCUGGCCAAGCAAGCCCUGGACCUGCCUCAUAGGCACUUCCUUCUCUGGAACUCUGCACACAGUUCCCAGGGUCUGGAACGCAUCUCACCCAACAAAACCUACGUCCUCCAUGGAGUCUUUUCUGAUUACCCAGCUCUCAAGUGCUUCUCUCCCUUUUCUACAGGUACUUUCCCAUGUGCUUCCAUUUGACACUAGUUGUUUUGUCUCCUUGGCUUACUUCUCGGAGGUAGGCUUCCUACCUGUCCAAGCAUAUUGCUUCUUGAGAAGGGACGCAUUAGUGUUCAGAAGAGGUGGCACAUGGUAUAGUUUUGUCACCACGCUUGCUGCAGGUACAUCCCUCUCCAUUGUCAUCUGAGAUCACAGGGACUUGGAUUCUAGUCUGGACAGGUGUGGGAUGGGCUAACCUUGGGGCCUGUGUCUUCCAUGCCGCCAUCUUCUCAUCCUCCCUGAAAGUGGAUCCACAUUCUCCAAGACCAAGAAGUGAGUGCUGUCUCUGCAACCCUGGUGAACUCUGACUUCAUUGAGAGCCUGGUUGAGCUUUGGAAGGCCUUUUUCUUCUUCCGUCUUUGGAAGACAUAAACACCAAAGGGGAGAAGACGCAGCUCAUGCACACUCACCUCUUCUAGUCAAUGAUUUAAAUCUAAACAGUUAACAGACAAAGAAGUAAAAAUGAGAGAAAGCAUUGAUUAGUCAACCUUGUGCAUCCUGUUCAGAGAUCAAAGGGGCCAGUGAACAGGGAUCAAAGUGGGGGGAAAUACUGAAUGCAACCCCCUUGGGAAGCGACAUUUCUCACGACGUGGUAUGACUUAAUCAGAACCACUCUGUGCAACAGCUGCAAAGAGGAAGAAAAAAACAACCCUGAAAAUUAUUAAUUAGGUAAGCCGAUGUUCCAUGUGCCUUUCACGACAUAAGAGUCAUUUCAGCAGUUGUGCCAACUCUCAGUAGACAGAUAUUUCUGCAGGUAGGUUCCCUUCAGAAAUGGGCACAAAAAUACAUUGUUGUAGCUGCUGUGCAACCACACUUCCCUGACUCAGGUCUGCAAAACUCUAGUGUGAAGCGUUGUUGUGUGGGGCUUGUUCACACCAGAGGAGUGCCAUUCCUAGCUACUUCAUCUAUAAAAGUUUAAAAAAAGAAAUCCCUUAAAACAAUAGAUGUGUAACUCAGAAAGUCACAAAGAUUUAAGUGAAAAUGUGUGGCAUCUGGAUAGUGCUUUAUAGUUUUCAAAAUAUUUUCGUAUGUGCCCUUUUAUUUGUUCAUGACACCUCGCCUGACCUUCGUGAAGGACAGCCACUGGACCCCAGGGCUGGCAAUUAAGCAGAAUUAGGGCUUCCAUCCUGUUCUGGUGAAGAAGAUGAUACUUCUACCUAUGUUAGGUCAUAAAACAGAACAUUUCAAAAAAGAAUUCACUGUGUUUUUGAAUGCAAACAGUAAGGGAUUUGGAAAAGAACAAUAAAUGAAUGAAUGAAGUGGAAUCCUUGGAUCCA